rnacentral:rRNA from 1 species
AACGAACGUUAGCGGCGCGCCUAAGACAUGCAAGUCGAGCGAGAAAGGGAUUCGUCCCCGGUAAAGCGGCGCACGGGUGAGUAACACGUAGGUAAUCAACCCUCGAGUGGUGGACAACUCUCCGAAAGGAGAGCUAAUACAGCAUGACGUGGCGGUCUUCCGAGAUCGUUUCCAAAGCGGGCCUCUUCAUGAGAGCUCGCGCUCGAGGAUGAGCCUGCGGCCCAUCAGCUAGUUGGCGGGGGAACAGCCCACCAAGGCAUAGACGGGUAGCUGGUCUGAGAGGAUGAACAGCCACACUGGAACGGAGACACGGUCCAGACUCCUACGGGAGGCAGCAGUCGGGAAUCUUCCGCAAUGGGCGAAAGCCUGACGGAGCGACGCCGCGUGAGUGAUGAAGGCCUUCGGGUUGUAAAGCUCUGUGGGGAGGGAAGAAUAAGUUCAAGCGAAUACCUUGAAUGAUGACGGUACCUCCUUAGCAAGCACCGGCUAACUCUGUGCCAGCAGCCGCCGUAA